rnacentral:rRNA from 1 species
UACGAAGGGGGCUAGCGUUGCUCGGAAUCACUGGGCGUAAAGCGCACGUAGGCGGAUCUUUAAGUCAGGGGUGAAAUCCCAAGGCUCAACCUUGGAACUGCCUUUGAUACUGGGGAUCUCGAGUCCGGAAGAGGUGAGUGGAACUGCGAGUGUAGAGGUGAAAUUCGUAGAUAUCGCUUGGAACGCCAAAGGUGAAAACAGGUUGCUGGGGUUGUGCCGACGCUGAGACACGAAAGCCAGGGGAGCAAACGGG